GACGAACGCUGGCGGCGUGCUUAACACAUGCAAGUCGAACGGAAAGGCCCUGCUUUUGUGGGGUGCUCGGUUGGCGAACGGGGGAGGAACACGUAAGUAACCUACCCUUCACUUUGGGGUAACUUCAGGAAACUGGGGCUAAGACCGGAUAGGAUCUCCUGCUGCAUGGUGGGGGGGGGAAAGUCUCGGCGGGUGGGGAUGGACUCGCGGCUUACGGGCUUGUUGGUGGGGUAGGGGCUUACCAAGGCUGGGACGGGUAGCCGGCCUGAGAGGGUGACCGGCGACAUUGGGCCUGCGAUACGCACCAGACUCGUACGGGAGGCAGUAGUCGGAAGUAUUGCCCAGUGGGCGGGCGUCUGAUGCGGAAACGCCGGGUGUGGGAAGACGGCCUUCGGGGUGUGAACCGCAUUCGGCUAUGACGAAGCGUGAGUGACGGUACUGGGUAAAGAAGCACCGGCUAACUACGUG
rnacentral:rRNA from 1 species